AUUGAACGCUGGCGGCAGGCCUAACACAUGCAAGUCGAGCGAGCGGCGGACGGGUGAGUAAUGUCUGGGAAACUGCCUGAUGGGGGGGGGUAACUCCUGGGAACGGUAGCUAAUACCGCAUACCAUCGGAUGUGUCCAGAGGGGAUUAGCGCGUAGGUGGGGUAACGGCUCACCUAGGCGACGAUCCCUAGCGGGUCUGAGAGGAUGACCAGCCACACUGGAACGGAGACACGGUCCAGACGCCUACGGGAGGCAGCAGUGGGGAAUAUUGCACAAUGGGCGCAAGCCUGAUGCAGCCAUGCCGCGUGUAUGAAGAAGGCCUUCGGGUUGUAAAGUACUUUCAGCGGGGAGGCGUUACCCGCAGAAGAAGCACCGGCUAACUCCGUGCCAGCAGCCGCGGUAAUUC
rnacentral:rRNA from 1 species